rnacentral:misc_RNA from 1 species
GACCUUUCCAUGAAGAUAAAAAGGUAGAGCCUUGAAGAAGCUUGAGAGACCCCAAGAUGAGCAGACACGUCCAUGAAAUUGCUACCAAGAGGGACUUGAUUGGCUGACCAAGUUCCUGUAACUCUGCAUCGCUAAAGGUGUCUUCUGCUACAUGCUUAUCCAACAGCGCAUCCUUUGCCACAAACAUAUCUCUGCACCAUUGAGCAAUGGCAUCGUCUGUCUCAGGCAACUCCUUCAUUGAAUGUCGC